AUCCUCCUAGGAUGGAAAGUUGUUAGGUUUGAAAGCAGGUGCAGAAUUCGAGCUCUCGGGAUCAGAGGUCAACGUUGCUUGUCCCCCGGGACCGAAGAGGACCCCGCAGCUUCGGCGGGCAGCAAGGGAGGCGCGGGCAUCACGACCCGGGCACUGCCCCAGCUCCCAUCCGGAGAGGUCCCCAUCGAGAGGAACCCCCCAGCCUCCGAGCUCCGGUGCGAGCCGCCGAGGGGGUGACCCGCCUACCGCGCCGAGCCUCCCGCGCCCUUUAAACCUCCCAGGCCUGAGCUACUUGCAGCAUUGAUCAGAGGAGCAGCCUUUCGCAGUUGGCAGCAGUCAAUGCAGAGACCCAUAACUGGUCAAAGUGCUGAGGCUUCAGAGUCUAUGAGUGCUUAGCCGUAAGCAGGACAUCUUUAUCACAUGCCACCCCACCCUAAGUGUGGAGGAACCUCGCAAAAGAGCAACCAGAGGUCCCUGACCACAGCAAGACGGAAGUUACCUUACAUCGAGGAGAGCAAACCAGAUAGCACCUCUCUGAAGACAGAAACAGACACACCUGGUUGAGCCAAGUAUACACGACUCCUUCCAAACUCUCCAAAGGCUUUUCACGUGGGAGAAGAAAGGCAAAAGGUGAGCCUCUAGGUCACUCAAGUCAGCUUCUAGGAGGACAUCCUUCUAUGCCGAAACCAGAACUGGAUAGGAAUCAGUUGCUUCCUAAAGUCAGUCGAACUUCAUUCUUGGACCCUUCAGGUUUGUUUUUUCCACCACCUGUCUCAGACUCUGGCUUUCAGCAUCUGCCGUUCAACAGAGGGAUUGAUGAAAUCAGUCAAAGACAUCAGUAUCAGUGUGCUUCUGGCUCUCCAAGGGACAUCUGUGCAGCG